rnacentral:rRNA from 1 species
GAACGCUGGCGGCGUGCCUAAUACCUGCCAGUCGAGCGACCAGACGAGGAGCUUGCUCCUCUGACGUUAGCGGCGGACGGGUGAGUAACACGUGGAUAACCUACCUAUAAGACUGGGAUAACUUCGGGAAACCGGAGCUAAUACCGGAUAAUAUAUUGAACCGCAUGGUUCAAUAGUGAAAGACGGUUUUGCUGUCACUUAUAGAUGGAUCCGCGCCGCAUUAGCUAGUUGGUAAGGUAACGGCUUACCAAGGCAACGAUGCGUAGCCGACCUGAGAGGGUGAUCGGCCACACUGGAACUGAGACACGGUCCAGACUCCUACGGGAGGCAGCAGUAGGGAAUCUUCCGCAAUGGGCGAAAGCCUGACGGAGCAACGCCGCGUGAGUGAUGAAGGUCUUCGGAUCGUAAAACUCUGUUAUUAGGGAAGAACAAAUGUGUAAGUAACUAUGCACGUCUUGACGGUACCUAAUCAGAAAGCCACGGCUAACUACGUG